rnacentral:sRNA from 1 species
GCUGGGUGUGGUGGCUCACACUUGUAAUCCCAGCACUUUGGGAGGCUGAGGCGGGAGGAUCACCUGAGGCCAGGAGUUCAAGACCAGCCUGGCCAACACGGUGAAACCCUGUCUCUA